GGUAAUACAGAGGGUGCAAGCGUUAAUCGGAAUUACUGGGCGUAAAGCGCGCGUAGGUGGUUCGUUAAGUUGGAUGUGAAAGCCCCGGGCUCAACCUGGGAACUGCAUUCAAAACUGACGAGCUAGAGUAUGGUAGAGGGUGGUGGAAUUUCCUGUGUAGCGGUGAAAUGCGUAGAUAUAGGAAGGAACACCAGUGGCGAAGGCGACCACCUGGACUGAUACUGACACUGAGGUGCGAAAGCGUGGGGAGCAAACAGGAUUA
rnacentral:rRNA from 1 species